rnacentral:rRNA from 1 species
AACGAACGCUGGCGGCAGGCCUAACACAUGCAAGUCGAACGCUCCGCAAGGGGAGUGGCAGACGGGUGAGUAACACGUGGGAAUCUUCCUGUUGGUGCGGAAUAGCUCAGGGAAACUUGGGGUAAUACCGCAUAAGCCCGAGAGGGGAAAGAUUUAUCGCCGACAGAUGAGCCCGCGUCUGAUUAGCUAGUUGGUGAGGUACCGGCUCACCAAGGCGACGAGCAGUAGCGGGUCUGAGCUGAUGACCAGCCACACUGGGACUGAGACACGGCCCAGACUCCUACGGGAGGCAGCAGUGGGGAAUAUUGGACAAUGGGCGCAAGCCUGAUCCAGCCAUGCCGCGUGAGUGACGAAGGUCUUCGGAUUGUAAAGCUCUUUUGGCGGGGACGAUAAUGACGGUACCCGCAGAAUAAGCCCCGGCUAACUUCGUGCCAGCCGCCGCGGUAAUAC